rnacentral:rRNA from 1 species
GAUGAACGCUGGCGGCGUGCCUAAUACAUGCAAGUCGAGCGAACAGACGAGGAGCUUGCUCCUCUGACGUUAGCGGCGGACGGGUGAGUAACACGUGGAUAACCUACCUAUAAGACUGGGAUAACUUCGGGAAACCGGAGCUAAUACCGGAUAAUAUAUUGAACCGCAUGGUUCAAUAGUGAAAGACGGUUUUGCUGUCACUUAUAGAUGGAUCCGCGCCGCAUUAGCUAGUUGGUAAGGUAACGGCUUACCAAGGCAACGAUGCGUAGCCGACCUGAGAGGGUGAUCGGCCACACUGGAACUGAGACACGGUCCAGACUCCUACGGGGGGCAGCAGUAGGGAAUCUUCCGCAAUGGGCGAAAGCUUGACGGAGCAACGCCGCGUGAGUGAUGAAGGUCCUCGGAUCGUAAAACUCUGUUAUUAGGGAAGAACAAAUGUGUAAGUAACUAUGCACGUCUUGACGGUACCUAAUCAGAAAGCCACGGCUAACUACGUG